UUUUGCUAAGAUUUUGAACUGAGCUCUUGUCAUAUUCCUGUGGCACCAGUUUGGAAAUAAAACAGUUUUAUUCUAGAAAAAGGUUGUAGAGUGUUUCUAUCUCUGGCAUUUGGGAAGGCUUGCUCCUUGCCUUAUGAUUUGUGUCUGUCUGGACAGGUAUUGUCAGGUCAUGUUUUCUCUGCCUCGGAGGUUUGUACACCUCGCAUCAGUGUGUUACCACACUGAAUGUUGCUCUGCGAAGUUUGAGGCCAGUUUAAUUUUCCUUCCUACACAUCACCAAACUCAAGCAUAAAGCGGGUCCUUUCAGUAGGAGUGUGCUAACUUGAUCAAGGACUAUAUUGCACCAGUGCUUUUUUGCCAUAUAUGUUCCUUUUUUUUUUAUAGGUGCCAUUUGUUGAAAAGUCUCCUAUUUUUUAAUUGUACUUAACCUUAAUUGUAAUUUUUAUGUGUCUUUUCUUGUACCUUAGAGUUCUCUCCCUUAAAGGUGGCAUCCUUGGAACAUGGAGACUUGGUUACUAAUUAUCUGGAAGGUGCUGGAGUGCAGCAGCAGCCAUUCAUUAGCAGGAAGUGUGGAUCCCUGAAAAAUGACAUACCCUGGUGGCUUUGCUGAGCCCGGCCAAAGUCUCCUGAAGGGUUUUUUUGAGCCUCCAGUAUUCCUCACCAUGAUUACCUGUGGGCCAAUUGUGCAUGGAAUGGAGUCCUCCGGGCCGCUAAUAUGAGCAGUAACAGAGUAAGUUAGGGGGAAGGAAAUAUAGGUGUUUCACGUUUGCAUCUUUUAUUUUCAUGUAUAUUACUUUCAUCUGCUUUUCUCAGUGCCAACAGACUAAAAUCAUGUUCAGGAUAUAUUUGGGCUGGCCGGGAGGAUGGAAGAGUUGGUACUAAAGAGAGGCCUUCCCUCGACAGAGCUGCAAUGGAGGGCCUGCUUUGUGAGAGAUGACAGUGUGAAUGAAAAGCUUCACAAGAAGCAUUAGCCUGAGGUAGGCUCUACAAUGAAGAGCCUUGAAGAGGAGCCAGAUCAGUGAACAUGGGCCUGUUACGUUUGAGGGCUUGGUUGUCAGCCCUCUGAGGACAUAGGCAGCCUUCAGAGAAACAUGGCUUUGAGUAUUAGGUUCCAGGCUUUAAACCAAAAUUUCUUUAAAAUUGCAUUUAUUUAUUAAGUGUAGUGGAGGAGAGGUAAGGAGACAACUUGUAGGAGUCAGUUCUUAUUUUCU